rnacentral:tRNA from 1 species
GAGGGGAUAGCUCAGUGGUAGAGUGUGUGCUUAGCGCUCAUGAGGCCCUGGGUUCAAUCCCCAGUGCCUCCA